rnacentral:lncRNA from 1 species
CUGCAACCAAAAUGUAGAAGAGCCCCAUAACUCCAGUGUGUCUUUGGGCACUGCUGUAAUUGGAUACCAAAUAUAGAGUUUCCCCAUCUGCAAUCCUAACUGAGCCUGGCUUCGGAUAACAGGUGGACAUUCCCACAAUGUAGCCAGCCUCAUUACCAGCUUCCUUUCCUUCUCCAUAAGUUGGUGUCGAUGAACAGAUCACUCGUCCAUCCUACAUGAUUCAAGAUAGAAGACAUCAUACUAAGAAAUGAAUAAGGAAGGUACACAGCUCAAUCCUACAUCAGGGUCGAAUGCAUGUUAACUUAAAAUCUGCAGAGCACACAAAAUCCAUCAAUGCAUAACAAGUUACUACUCUCUCAUAUAUACUGCGAUAAAGUUUUUGAUUAAAUGCAAGCAAGUGGAGUACGGCAUUCUAUAAAACAAUGCACCUCUACAACUAUAGACCAUAGUUUCUGAAGAGUUAGAACAAACUGUUCAAUAGUCCAGGGACUAUUAAUUUCUUGACUCAUUAGAGAAACUUAGCAUAGAUGUUGUUUAGUAUUUACAUAGCAACAGUUUAGAAAAAAAUACAGAAGUAGCUGAAUACCAUAGCAUAAAAAGAGUUUAAAAGUCUACAAGUUCAGAAAAUUUACUUUUUUGAGUUGCACUAUCAUUCCUGGUAGACAAUACAUGAGUAAAAAUUAUAGAAGAACAUAUUUAAAAUAUGGAUACGGAUAAUACCUCUCCAUAAAGAGCGGAACCGAUUCCCCCAGUAUGCUGGUGUGCAACGCCAUAGAUGACAUCACCACCAGUUGGCAUAACCACGCUUAUCCGUCUAUAAUCAACGCAGGCCUCUUUAUUCAUAUCUGUGGCACAAGCCUCGACAGUAUACUCAAUCUGUAACAAGAUAACACAGUGGUAGUCACUCAUAGGAUCAAUACUUUAAAUUAGCUAUGUGAAAGUUUUUUAAAGCUUACUCACAUGGCAAUGAUGGUUUGUGCUGAGUGCCUUCUUCGAUUUAUCAGACUUUUCCCAAGUAUCAGUAACAUCAAAUAUAUAAAUCUUAAGAGGUGAAAUGGAGUUUCUCCAAUCAACCCACUUCACGGUGUACCUCAUGUAGAGGUUUCUCCUAGGACUCUCAAAUCCUUGUUUAAGCAGGCAUUGUGUCUUAUCGUAGCAACAAUAUAAUCCACCUAUAUAAUCAGGUUUCAGAGGCUGGUUAUAUUCAUCUACAGUAACAUUGUAUAGAUCGCACCUGCACUCAGUGCAUCCUAAUCUCUGUGCUGCACCCCGAGUAUCAAUAGCAUGAACAUUAAGCAACCAUUUCUCCUCAUAGCCAUCAGGAAUUUCAGCGGGGUUUCCAAUUUCAAUUCCAUAAGGAUCUGGGAUAUAUGUGGCUGUUUUCCGUGUUUCAGAUCCUAGGCCAAAAUACUGUAUAAGACCAUGAUUGCAAAUUCCAGCAUUUCUUGCAACUAAAAAAUUUGCCUGGUGUAAACCGGGACUUUGACUAUGCUUGGAAACGUCAGUUCCUUUACGCUCAUAGUAUCUCACAGCAACCCAGUGGUGAAGGUAGGUCUCGUGAAGGGGAACAGAGUUCCCUGCGUCAUCAACUACUUCAGCACUGAAAUCCUUGAUUGCAACAUGACCUCUUGGGAAGUCGAUAUCGUAGAACCAUUUGUUAGCCACUGAUCCUGCACCUAGAACAAUCUUAGGUGAUAAGAAAACUUUAGUUCUCACUCCAUUUUCGCGAGCUUCCAAACUUUUGAAACAUAAGGCCAACAAGAAAGUCACAAUCAAUGUUAAACAACUUUGAGCACCCCCUAACAUAUUUACUCUUGUUUAUCUGUUGAAAGCAAAGACAAAACAAACCAAAAUAAAUUAAGGAAUGAAUUCUACAUUACGGCCUCAACAAAAGGGUGAUGCCCAAAUCUAUCACUUUUUACAGGGAUAAGGCCCCAAAUAUCACUAUAGGAGAAGAUGACCUCAAAUAUCAAACGCUAGGUCGUGCAGCGUUCAUCCAUUUUUCACUUCUUAACGCUAGGUGGUCUAACGUUUUAGUACCCUAAACGCUAUUUCAUGUAGUGUUUUACACACAAACGCCAGACAUGUUACGUUUUAUAAGGUUUUUCAGACCCAGACGCAACACAAUGUAGAGUUUUUUUUCCAAAAAUCAAAACAUUAGAUUAUUUGGCGUUAAUAAGAGAUAUUUCGGAUCUUUUCCGGUAACACUGGUAUUCUGGACAUUAUUUGUGAAAAUUAUGGUAUACGGGACAUUUUUUGUCAAUAAGAAGAUCAUCUGUAUAAAGUCUACCAAAAAAAAUUCUUGUUCCAUUUGCCAAGUGUAUCAAUAACCAACCACAUAGAUACAUGAACCAUCAUUCAUUUUAAGCACUUCACCUUUACCAAUUUUAAUAUAAAUGAUCAUCCAUCUCUCCCAUCCAUGUAUAGAUAUAUCUUUCAUAAAGCUUCUUAUAUAAAGACACUGAAUGCUAUUGCAAGAACGAGAAUAAUAUCAUUCAGUUUACACAUGUGAUACCACUACUUGAGCUCGUGAACUCGAGCUCUGAUAUCAUAUUAAGAACGGACGAGUAUUAUAUCUUAACAAUUAUGAAGGGAGAAACGAUGACGAUGUGAAGAACAUAUUAAAGCAUAAAAUAAUCGACAAUUCACUUUGAAGAGGAACAAAAACACAUCCAUAUAUACAUAAUCAAGAGUGAGACAUACCGAAGAUGAUGUGAGUAACAAACUGGAGGAAGAUUAUAGACACAAAACAGGAGGUUCAGUUUAGUUUAUAUAGAUGCUCACGCAAUGAGUAUGAUGAGCUAAAAUAGGACGAGUGAACAAAUAAUUGCCAAGUGUAUCUCUUCGGUUUACAAAGUACUAUGAGGGAAUCGAAUAUGUGAUACGAAAAUGCAAAAUUCCAAAACGGUGGUAUUUUUCAUAUCCCACGCUGAGCAGUUGGCUCCACACAAAUUCAUUCCGAUUUUAAAGCUGAAUUUAAAAUUCUAGCUGUGGGAUGGUUAAAUAUACUUGAUAUUUUGAAACAUCAAUAUAUAUAUAUAUAUAUAGGCUAAUGAUCAAAUAGAAACCAAUUUUAAAAUAAAAACUAGAAACCAAUACAAGUUAGUGAUAUUCUCAGUACAAUUUAGUGAUAUUCUCUUUAGGAUUUAGUGAUAUGUGUUGCAGGAAUUAGUGAAAAUUUAAUAUCCAGAUAUGUUCUAGCUUAAAAUCUCCAGAUCUGUUCAUGUUUUCAAUUCAGAUGGUGGUGAUAGUGGUGGAGAUGGUGGAGGUGAAGGUGAAGAUGGAGGAAGGAUGAUUGUAGCGGAGGUUUGAGCGGCUUGAAGUGGGGGGUUGGAGCGUUGCCGGAUUAGUGGCAGCUCCACGUUUGAAGUUGAGUCGAGUGGAGAAAGAAAUAUGAACAUGGUUGAAGGAGGUUGAAGCAGCGAUUAAGAUGGGGAUGGUGAAGAUGGAGGUGUGGAGGUUGUGUUGUUAGAGAAAUAAUGGAGGUGGAGGUGGAGAUGGAUGUGAUGGUUAUGGAGGAGGCAGGCGGCAUAGAGGUGGUAGUGGUUAUAUAUAUAUAUAUAUAGGCUCAUGAUCAAAUAGAAACCAAUUUUAAAAUAAAAACUAGAAACCAAUACAAGUUAGUGAUAUUCUCAGUACAAUUUAGUGAUAUUCUCUUUAGGAUUUAGUGAUCUGUGUUGCACGAAUUAGUGAAAACUUAAUCUCCAGAUAUGUUCCAGCUUAGAAUCUCCAGAUCUGUUCACGUUUUCGAUUCAGAUGAUGGUGAUAGUGGUGGAGAUGGUGGAGGUGAAGGUGGAGAUGAAGGAAAGAUGAUUGUAGCGGAGGUUUGGGCGGCUUGAAGUAGGGGGUUGGAGCGUUGCCGGAAAUAGGUGGGGUUCCGUGUUUGAAGUUGAGUCGAGGUGGAGAAAGAAGUAUGAACGGGGCUGAAGGAGGUUAAAACAACGAUUAAGAUGGGGCUGGUGAAGAUGGAAGUGGAGGUUGUGUUGUUAGAGAAAUAAUGGAGGUGGAGGUGGAGAUGGAGGUGGUGGUUAUGGAGGGGGCGGGCGGCAUAGAGGUGGUAGUGGUUAUGAAGGAGGCGACGACGGAGGUGGUGGCGGUGGAGAUGGGGUUGGUGAAGAUGAAGGUGGGGUUGGUGAAGAUGAAGAUGGAGAUGGGGUUGUUUAAGAAUUUAGUGGUAUUUGCUUUAGGAUUUAGUGAUAUUUUAGUUUGGUUUUUAGUUUUUAGGAUAAGGAGGUUUUUAUUGGAGUAAUACUCUAUAUAUAUAUAUAUAUAAAGGAGGAUGCGGGCGUCUCUAGGAUUGUUCGAUUCAGUCUUUUGAUUUUUCUUAAAUUUCGGAUAAAAAAUAUAUUUAUAAUUCAAAAAAUCAGAUUCAAAAAUUCUAAAAGUAAUACAAUUCUUUUCUUAUUAGAUUUCCGACUUGCAGCAAUAUGUACUCAACGAUGCAGCACUUCAUAACUCAGAUCAACCAAAUUUGACUAAACAAAUCGGAAACAAAGGAUUGCACCAAGCAAAGCAAAUAUACAUGAACCGUGGCUAAUGACCCUGCAUCUAACACAAGGCAAAGGACUCGAGACUAACUAAUCAGACAGAAGCAACAAAAUCAAAUAUAAAGGAGAAUGCAGGGUAUAAAGUGUUGGGGCAGCUAAGCGAGCCCUAGCUCCACAAUAGUACGAUAUUGUCCGUUUUGGAUCUUUGACGUGAGAUUUGAGAUUUAUGAUAAAGUUUGGAUUUUUAUUUCUUAUCUGAUUCAAUUUGUUGGUGUAGUUUUAAUUUUUCUAAUUUUUUAAGAGAAAAUAGAUAAAAUAGUUAAGAAAUAAUAAUCAUAAAAGAGAUAUAAUUCCAAGUAGUUAAGAAAUAGAAUCUUAACAGAAAUGUAAUUGCGAAAAUCUAUGAAGUUCUAAGUAGUUAAGAAAUAGACAUCUUAAAAGAAAGAUUUAAGAAAUAUGAAUCUUAAAAAAAAAUAUUAAUAGCUAAAAUCUAUAAAAUUCCAAGUAGUUAAGAAGUAGAAAUCUUAAAAGAAAAGAGAGAUAAUUCUAACCAGUUAAGCAAUAGGAAUCUUAAGAAAAAUAUAAUAACUAUAAUCUAUGAAAUUAGAUAUAUUUAUCUAAUUAUAAUUAUAAUUUAAUCAUAAUAUAAAUGAUUCUUGAUUAGUAUUGUGCUUGAGGGGAGGGCGGCCCAAAUUAAUCUUUAUCUGAAUAAUAAUAAAUUUUUUUAUUAGAGUUAUGUUUGACGGAAAAACAGCUAAAUAAUUUUUAUCUAAGUUAUAAUAUAUUUUGUAUUAAAACGAGACCACGGCUUAAAAUAAUUUUCAUCCAAUUAUAAUUUUUAACUUUAUCAUAAUUAUAACAAUUUUUUAUUAGUAUUGUGUGUUGAUGGUAGAGCGACUCAAACUAAUAUUUAUAUUAUAAUGUUUUUUUAUUAGUAUUGUGUUUUACAAGAGAGCGGCUCAAACUAAUUAUUAUCUAUAUUAUUAUGUUUAAUUUUAUCAUAAUUAUUGAUUAAUAUUGUCUAGAAGGACGGUUCAUACAAUUUUUUUUAAAUUAGUAUUGUGUUUGACAAGAGGCAACUUAAACAAAUUUUUAUAUUAAUUAUAAUAUUUUUUAUUAGUGAUAUGUUUAACGUGAAGAUGACUCGAAAUAAUUUUUAUGCAAUUAUAAUAAUAAUUUGUAUUAAAAUUUAUAAAAAAAUUAGUAACGCCGCCGCGAAGCGCGGCUUCAUUCACUAGUUUGAAAUAAAAUACAUGAAUAUAUGUAUUUUUUUCAGAAUUUUGGUUAUCUAUACAACUGGGAUGCUCAUUUAUUAUCUUAAAUUAAAAAUGUUGUGUUUUUCUGCGUAGUGCUUGUUUAUUUUAUCAAAAGAAUUUAGAUGUGAUACUCAUUUAUCAUUUUAGGUAUCAAGAACUAAAUAUCCACUAUAUUGUAUAUAAUUGUCAAGAUAUAUAAAUUAUUAUUAAUUCUUUAGAAUCAGAAUUGAAUAUCUAUACUAUACUAUAAUAAGCCAACAUAGGUAUAAUUUGUAGUCCAAGGUUUUAGUUAUAUUUUUUGGUUUGGUACUCUCCUUUUGGUACUACAAGUCUACAAAUGUGGAGUCUAUUAGUAUUAUAUUGUUAAACAGUUUCAAAUACUAAAAACACUCAUAAAAAUCCAUUAUCAUAUAAUAUUUCAUUAAAAAAAUUAUAAUAAUGAUAUAAAUAUACAAUUUUGAAUAUCUUCUUUUAACAAAAACAUUCAUAUAACUUUUUUUAACUUUAACGUGUUCUAUUUCAAUAUAAACACGAACUAUUACAUAACAUUUUCUAACUCUAAUCUUAAAAGUUAUUAUUGUCAAAAAAACCAAAAUAACAAAAUUAAGUUGAAAUUCGAUUGAUUAGAUUACUGAAUCGGGAGAAAAUAUAGGCAAUUGAAUAAUAUAAUUUAAUUAAAAUUCAAUCCAUUAAUACUAAAAUACUAAUAAAAUAAUAUUACAAAUUAAAUUUUAAAUAAUAAAUUACGAACUAUAUACCCGGCCGUGCUUCGCACGGGUUAAAGGCUAGUAUUGUUAAAUCUUUAAUGAUGUUCGCUAAAAUGAAUAUUGAUUAAAAAAACUUGAAUUAAUGAAUAUUUUUGGUUCGAAUAUAUAUUGUUCCGGUUGGUUUAUCCUUUUUCUCUCUUUUUUUAUAAUUUUAUUUAGUUAAAAGUUUCCAUACUAGGUUAAUAUCAUUAAUUUAAAAGUAUACCCGUUAGGUUGCGUGAGCUCGUGGGUUUAUCCAGUGCGCACCCGAAGGGUAGCGGCUGCGGGUUCCUACGUUAAUAAAAAAUAAUAUACAAAAUACAAAAAUGAAAUUUCAAUCAUUCAAUUCUAAAGAAUGAUAUUCCAAAACUCCAAUUUACACCGCAUAUAAUUUAUAAUGGAGACUAUUGGCAUCUACAACCACACCGAUAAUAAUGAAUAAUAAUAAAGCUUCACCAACAUAUAUAUAGUUCUAAGUUCCAGGCUUCCAGCUUCUAUUUCUCUCAGUCUCCCUGAACAAUGGAGGAUUGAGGAAGAAAGAAAUGUACACGACACUCACCAGAAAUAGAAAUACCAGUAUUAUCAACAUUGCAUUGCAUUCAGUUUCAUGCACAAGUAACUUAAUCCAGCUAUUUGGAUCAGCACCCACAUUGCAUUCAGUUUUCAAGGAGAUCCUUACUAGUUGCAUCUUUGUUACAUUACAUAGCCUUACAUGGGAGAGAAAAACAAGAUCAUAUCACUAUUGGCGCAUAUCCAUCUUCUCGUGGGCUUCUGAGUUUUCUGUAACCGACGAAAACAAUGGCCAUAGCUAUUCCCACUCCAAACAGAACCCCUACCUGAACCAAGCUGCUCUUUUCUGUUUCCCCGUGCAUCUGCAGAACCAAAACACCCAUUGUAUAACGCUAUUCGAAUCAUAGCAACACAGUAUUUUUUAUAUUGCUCAUUUUGAAAAAGUUGGUUUUAUAUAUGUUACUGCCACUUAUUUCCACAUUACUUUCCAUACAGAUUUUCUAACUCGAUAAAUCUGGUGGUUAUGUAUGUCCAUAUAGUUUCAAAGACUUUCUUUGAUAUUUUCAAGUAAGAGGUAAAUAUUAGCCGAUUUAUUUUCAAACCCAUAGUCUUCAUAGUAAUAGUGAAAUGGAGACGGGACAUAAGUUCACCUCAAUUGCAGCCUGCGUGAAAGACUUUGUAUUUGGUAAUGGCUCUGCAACCAAAAUGUAAAAGAGCCCCAUAACUCCAGUGUGUCUUUGGGAACUGCUGUAAUUGGAUACCAAAUAUAGAGUUUCCCCAUCUGCAAUCCUAACUGAGCCUGGCUUCGGAUAACAGGUGGACAUUCCUACAAUGUAGCCAGCCUCAUUACCAGCUUCCUUUCCUUCUCCAUAAGUUGGUAUCGAUGAGCAUAUUACUCGUCCAUCCUACAUGAUUCAAGAUAGAAGACAUCAUAUUAAGAAAUGAAUAAAAAGAGGCACAUACAGCUCAUCCCACAUCUGGGUCAAAUGCAUAUUAAUUUAAAAUCUGCACACACAAAAUUUUUUAAAUGCGGAACAGGUUACUACUCUCUCAUAUAUACUGCAAUAAAGUUCUUGGUU